rnacentral:rRNA from 1 species
UACGAAGGGGGCUAGCGUUGUUCGGAAUUACUGGGCGUAAAGCGAACGUAGGCGGUGUUCAAUGUCAGAGGUGAAAGCCUGGGGCUCAACUCCAGAAUUGCCUUUGAAACGGGGACGCUUGAGUCCGAGAGAGGGUGGCGGAAUUCCUAGUGUAGAGGUGAAAUUCGUAGAUAUUAGGAAGAACACCAGUGGCGAAGGCGGCCACCUGGCUCGGUACUGACGCUCAGGUUCGAAAGCGUGGGGAGCAAACAGG